AUGCUUACAGCUACAGCAGCACAUAUACUGAAAUUGGAGCAAAGCAGAGAAGAUUAUCAUGGUCCCUGUGCAAGGGUAAUACACAAAUUUGUGAGGUGUUGUAUAUUUUU